UAACGACGAGACCUUAACCUGCUAAAUAGCCCGGUUAGCUUUGGCUGGCCGCCGGCUUCUUAGAGGGACUAUCGGCUCAAGCCGAUGGAAGUUUGAGGCAAUAACAGGUCUGUGAUGCCCUUCGAUGUCCUGGGCCGCACGCGCGCUACACUGACAGAGACAACGAGUUCAUCUCCUUGGCCGGAAGGUCUGGGUAAUCUUGUUAAACUCUGUCGUGCUGGGGAUAGAGCAUUGCAAUUAUUCCUCUUCAACGAGGAAUGCCUAGUAAGCGCAAGUCAUCAGCUUGCGUUGAUUACGUCCCUGCCCUUUGUACACACCGCCCGUCGCUACUACCGAUCGAAUGGCUCAGUGAGGCCUUCGGACUGGCCCAGGAAGGUCGGCAACGACCAUCCAGGGCCGGAAAGUUCGUCAAACUUGGUCACUUAGAGGAAGUAAAAGUAGUAACAAGGUUUCCGUAGGUGUCUUUGAUCUGUUUCGCCUGCCGAACCUUGCAGCAGUGGUUUAAGCAACUGCGUUUCAGUCGUUCACACCGUGAGCGGCGACGCCCUUAAUCUGUCCCUGGGAGUGUCGGCGCAAGCAACGCAACCAGCAGCUCUGUUUCAAGAGUCCACAGAUCAAACGAGUGCGGCUACGAAUUUCGUGGCAAUAAUAUGAUCGGCCCCCCUUUUUACGAGGCGGUGAAGUCGCGGAACCUGCGGAAGGAUCAUUA
rnacentral:rRNA from 1 species